GACGAACGCUGGCGGCGUGCCUAACACAUGCAAGUCGAGCGAUGAAGUUUCCUUCGGGAAAUGGAUUAGCGGCGGACGGGUGAGUAACACGUGGGUAACCUGCCUCAUAGUGGGGAAUAGCCUUUCGAAAGGAAGAUUAAUACCGCAUAAGAUUGUAGUUUCGCAUGAAACAGCAAUUAAAGGAGCAAUUCGCUAUGAGAUGGACCCGCGGCGCAUUAGCUAGUUGGUGAGGUAACGGCUCACCAAGGCCACGAUGCAUAGCCGAGUUGAGAGACUGAUCGGCCACAUUGGGACUGAGACACGGCCCAA
rnacentral:rRNA from 1 species